GACGGGGAGCGAUGGCUCAGCGAGUAAAGCAUUUGGUGCACUCGCAUGCGACCUGAAUCUGGGCCCCAGCAUCGCGUGGAAAGCCCCCUGUGGCCACGUGCCUAGGGUCCUAGUGCUCAAGGGAGCAGAGAUGGGAGGAUGGCUGGGCCUCCCUGGUCAGCCAGUGUAACUGAAAAACAGCACCAGCUUCUGUUUCCACGAGAGAGAGACCAUGCCUCAAGGAAAUAAGUUCACUGUCUGUCCAGUCCAUCCCUUGGGUGAAGAGACAAGGGUCUGGAAGAAGACUCGCCUAUUUCGCUACUGACCUUACCAGAAAAGGUUCAUUGUCCACCUUCCUCCACCAGCAACGUAGCCAGUUUCCCAUGUCGCUCAUGCUGCACUCUGAUAGGUUGAGAUACAUCCUCUGCUUAGCCAGAUCCAUGAGGAAGAACUUGUCUGUAGUGACAGUCCUGAUGUCUCAGACCCAACUCUCAUUUACUCCACCUGAGGAACAGAUGAUUAACUCACCUGACUGACAGUUUUGAGGAAGGAACGGUAGGGCUCCAUCUUGUGAUCUACACUAUGAAUUAACUGCUCCCUGGAUGGUGUGGUGAGCUCAGCAAAGCAUGCUCCAGAACAGGCUUACUGUUUUGGGGUGGAGGCUGACUCUGGCUGGGGGUGGUGGCCUAGACCCAUUGCUCCCUCCCCUGACUGUCUAGGAGGCAUCAUCAAUUCAACUCCCAGACUAUGGAUGCACAGGAGGAAGCAGACUAUUCAUUUUCUGCUAUGAAUUUGCUGAGAUGCCAGUUUAAUAAACAAAAUAAAUAUCUUUUCCCUAUGUUUUUUUUCUCAUUAUGAAUAUGUAUGAGCUCUUGGAACUUUGGCAAGAGGCAGACUCGAGGCGACAGCUUCAUGGAUUUAGAGCCCCAGUUGGGGGGGGAUCUGGAGAUUUGCAAGCUGUGUUCCUCAGCACAUCCCUCACGUCCACUCUGGGCUGCUGAAGAGGCGAAGAGGACAUGAGAUGAGAGCCAUGCUCACACACGCCGUCAGGAAACAGCUAGCGGAUACCCGCUGCCUGGUAGUCACAGUGGGAGCUGAUACCAUAAAAAUGGCCAUGACAGGGCUGGAAAGAUGG